CCUACGGGAGGCAGCAGUGGGGAAUAUUGCACAAUGGGGGAAACACUGAUGCAGCAACGCCGCGUGAAGGAAGACGGUUCUCGGAUUGUAAACUUCUGUUCUUCGUGGAGAAUAAUGACGGUAGCGAAGGAGCAAGCCACGACUAACUACGUGCCAGCAGCCGCGGUAAUAGGUAGGGGGCAAGCGUUGACCGGAAUUACUGGGUGUAAAGGGAGCGCAGGCGGGAAGCCAAGUCAGCGGUGAAAACUACGGGCUUAACUUGUGGACUGCAGUUGAAACUGGUUUUCUUGAGUGCAGUAGAGGUUGGCGGAAUUCCGGGUGUAGCGGUGAAAUGCGUAGAUAUUCGGAGGAACACCGGUGGCGAAGGCGGCCAACUGGGCUUUAACUGACGCUGAGGCUCGAAAGUGUGGGGAGCAAACAGGAUUAGAUACCCUUGUAGUC
rnacentral:rRNA from 1 species